UGCUGUCCCACAUGAGACUUUCUCACGUUAUCCCUUCCAAUUUAGAUCCGAACUUCCGGUUUUCUCAAUUUAAUCGAUCAUCGUGGUGUUUUUUAAUUGACAAGGAUGGAAAUUAGGCAAAAAUAAUGUUGCUUCCUUUUUAUAACCGAAGGUCUUUGAAUUCUCAAUAGAUUAUUAUAAAUCCGACCCCCGACCCCCCCCCC
rnacentral:sRNA from 1 species